AGUCAGCAUGCCAGGGCUCCCCCUGCAUCUGAAGAAGAGGUGGCUGGUCCAGCUUGUCAAACAGGGUGCUCACUCUUUGGUCCCAGUUUCUGCUCCCAGUGCUACUGAGCUUUGCAAGGAAGGCAGGCUGUCCCCUGGGACCUACUGGAGCCCACAGGAGGGUGAGAGAGGUUCUUGAAAGAGGAGGUGGCUAUGGAGGGCCACUUCUUACUCCUUUGUGUGUUCUCCACAAAGUCCACGAUGAUGCCUUACAUAAAGAGAGAGAGAGAAUUGGGAGGGUGCGCAGAGGAAGAAGAAAACACUCCACUCACUGCCUAGAAAGCCUGCUGGGGAGUUACAUCCCAGGACCCUGAGAUCAUGACCCAAGCCAAAGGCAGUCACUCAAAGGACUGAGCCUCCGAGACAUGGAAGAACAUUCCUGUUGCUCCACAUCCUCACCAACAUUUCGUGUUCUGUUGUCAGUGCUCUGGAUUCUGGGUAUGUACUGGUGUCUCUUUUUUGUUUUAAUUUGCAUUUUCCUGAUGACAUAUGAUGUGAAGCAUCUUUUUAUAUGCUUAUUUGCCAUCUGUAAUAUUGUCUU